rnacentral:rRNA from 1 species
UACGAAGGGGGCUAGCGUUGCUCGGAAUUACUGGGCGUAAAGCGCACGUAGGCGGCUUUUUAAGUCGGGGGUGAAAUCCUGGAGCUCAACUCCAGAACUGCCUUCGAUACUGGAAGACUUGAGUCCGGGAGAGGUGAGUGGAACUGCGAGUGUAGAGGUGAAAUUCGUAGAUAUUCGCAAGAACACCAGUGGCGAAGGCGGCUCACUGGCCCAGUACUGACGCUGAGGUGCGAAAGCGUGGGGAGCAAACAGG